UAGGGAAUACUGGUAAUGUGCGAAAGCGCGAACCAGCAACGCCGCGUGCACGAUGAAGGCCUUCGGGUUGUAAAGUGCUUUUAGAGAGGAUGAGGAAGGACAGUACUUUCUGAAUAAGCCUCGGCUAACUACGUGCCAGCAGCCGCGGUAAAACGUAGGAGGCUAGCGUUAUCCGGAUUUACUGGGCGUAAAGCGCGUGCAGGUGGUUUCGUAAGUUGGAUGUGGAAGCUCCUGGCUUAACUGGGAGAGGUCGUUCAAAACUGCGAGGCUUGGGAGUGGUAGAGGGAGGUGGAAUUCCGGGUGUAGUGGUAAAAUGCGUAGAUAUCCGGAGGAACACCAGUGGCGAAAGCGGCCUCCUGGACCAUUUCUGACACUCAGACGCGAAAGCUAAGGUAGCAAACG
rnacentral:rRNA from 1 species